GUGAUCCUGGAGACGAGGUGCUGGAUUAGAGGGGACCAUCAUAGACAGGGUUCCUGUCUUUCCCCUCCUCCUGGGCACAUAUUAUUUGGAUAAUGGAAGCGUUAAAGGGCCCUGAGGAAGCUGGGGGAAAGACAGAGACUACGGGGUCCGUCUGAAGGAGAUGGAGAAGAUGAAAUCAUCAAAGACAGGUACCCAGCUGUAAACAUCAUGAAGGAUGUGACGGGAGGCCUGCUCGGCUCCUUUAGGAGCCGUAUAUACAUUAAUCACUGAAUCACCAAGCCAUGCUUAAUUGCAUGUUGUAUAUCACACAAAUCCAUGGAACGCAGGGAACUGGAUGCAGGCACUAAUUGCAGUCAACCUGGAGAGGGAAACCGAGCCCUGGUGGGCCCACACCCAUGGCUGGCGGCCCUUGCUUUUUACAGCCAAGUGCAGCAGGCUCUCCCAGCCCCAACUCCAUCCUGGCUUCUGCUUCCGCCCUUUUAGAGGAUGAUGUGCUGAAACCCAUUCCUCCUUGAGAGUUUACAGAACUGUUAAAAUGAUAAAGAAAAAAAAAAGCCCACAGUAUAUUUUGCUUUGACAAAAUUAUUGAUUUAAAUCCCAUACAAUAGCACGGUACUAUUUAAAGGUCAACCCAAGAAAAAUGAGUUUACACCCGACCAGAGCCAAGCUUAUCUGUCAUGAAAGUGUAAUGAUGUGUUUAUUCCUUCACUAGUGUGUGUAUAUUUUUCAGGAAGAUAUAAUAGUCUGCUUGUAGGUGAAAUCUGCUCUCAAAUGGGAAUUUCAGGAGAUAUUUACAUUUCAGAUUGUAAGGGCUGAUAUCUUGGGCCCUGAUGCCCAUUUCCUAAGCCCCUGUCGGUUUAUUUACGCUGCCUGAGAACCACAGCUCUCCCUCCCCAGCACAAAAAUUAUUCUUCCUGGCCUACAAAUCACUUUUUCCCCUCUCCCCUUUUCAAAUAGGUAAGGCCACAAAUUGAAUGAGGAGGGAUUUCCGAUUACCUGGCUUUCUGACAUUUCUGUUUGUCCUUUUACAAGUCAACGAGAUAGCAAUAAAAUGCUCUGACUCCAUUGUCUCUUAGAAAUAUCCAUCAUCAUAGGAUCUGUAUGGGCCUCAUUUUUCUCUUUUAAAAACUCAAAGCAGGCCCUCCUUCCUUUUCUGCUUCCUCUCCCAAAAGGGCCUUCUCACUUGCUCUCAUUCUGUACAUGAACCUUUGGAAAAGCAGAGAGUGGGGAAGCUAAGCCAAUAAGAGAUACCUAUGACCCAGCAUCACCAUGAGAUUUCACACACAGUAACAUCAUGGCCUCUGGCCUUUCCCUGUAAGAAUCUCCAUAGCCUGUGGUCUUGAACCUUGUGCUGUUAAAAAUCUUGGCUCAGUACUCUUCAGAACUCUUGUCAUUGGCCCUCCAUUAUUCAUGGACUGAUUUACCUUGUCUUUAACUCAUCCAGAGCCUAUGGCCCUCAGUCAUCUCCCUGUAGCUGCCAACUCAUUGGGCAUAUAUCCCUAUGUAUUAUCAUCUCUGUGGGCAACAGCAGGGAAAGACCACAAAAAGCAGACAAUUUGGUACUUUGUUAGUAUAUCUAAUGAAAAGUUUUUCGAAAGAAGCAGUUGAAGCUCCUAGCCAAAAUUUAAUUAAAAUUUAGAUGAAAAUUGGGUGCUAACUCUAAUUGUCCAGAUUUUCUGUUGUUCCUAAAUCUUGGUUAUACAAGGCCCAUGACUAAGGCAAAUUUUCAUUUUUCAUAGACAUUUCCAUUAUUACAUGCCCUCAUUCCUAUGACAGAAUAUGUGGUACUCUCAUCAUUUCUGGGGAAUAAAAAUUGACAUCA